AAACAAUGAGCAAAAUCAGCAACACGGGCACCCAUCCCUCCUCUUUGAUACCUUGAUGGUGUCCAAGAGGUGUUCUGCCAUCAGGACAUAUACUGCAGGACAGCUUCAGAGGCUGACGCUGCCCAUCAAGGGCAGGGAGCUCAGGGAUGAUUUAUAGGAGUUGCAUUCCAUGUGUCCAAGAAGCAAGUCUAGUGGUUCCAGGUGUGGCUGUUUUGGGGCAGUGCUUGAAACCCAGUGGCUCAGUGGGGACUCAGGCCAGGUAUGGCUCCAGCCAGCAAACCUGAAUCUCUGAUUUUAUAUACAUGGUGUCCCAAAAGUCUUAGUUCAGUUUUAGGUUGUAAUAUCUUCAGUAGUACAGACGCUGUGAAUGUACAAAAUGAGCUUACAAACUUACAAAACGAAGAAGACUAUUUAAAUUUAUCUGUACUUAGUUUUGAGAUAUUUGAAAAAUUAAUUUUUAAAACAUUUUAGUCCCUCUAAAGAUGGCAGACACUGACACAACUAAAGAUUAAGUUAAAAAUGUGUUAUUUGGCUAAGUGUAUGAAAUAAUCAUUAGAGAAAUGCAAAGAAAAAAGACACAAUGAGAUAUCACCGCACACCCAUUUGGAUGGCUACUAUCAAAAAAAGGAAAGAAAAGAAAAGAACAAGUGCUGGCACUGAUAUGGAGAAAGUGGAACUCUUGUGCACCAUUGGUGGGAAUGUAAAAUAGUGCCACUGCUAUAGAAAACAUAGUGGUUCUCAAAAAACUAAUAAUAGAACUACCAUAUGAUCCAGCAAUUCCACUUCUACACAUAUAUCUGACAGAAUUGAAAAUAGGUCUCAAAGAGCUAUUUGUACACCCGUGUUCAUAGCAGGAUUAUUCACAAUAGCCAAGGGAUGGAAGAAACCCUAGUGUCCAUCAACAGAUGAGUGCAUCAACAAAUGUAGCAUAUACAUACAAGGGCAUAUGACUCAGCUUUCAGAAGGAAAAAUAUUCUGACACAUGCAACAACGUGAAUGAACAUUGAGGACAUUAUGCAAAGUGAAAUAAGCCAGUCACAAAGACAAAUACUGUAUGAUUCCACGUAUAUGAAAUAUCUACGGUAGUCAAAUAUUUAGAAAGUGGAAUGGUGGUUUCCAGGGGCUGAGGGGAGAGGUAAAUGGGGAGUUACUAUUUAAUGGGUGUCUUAGUUUGGACUGCUAUAACAAAAUACCAUAGACUGGGUGGUUUAUAAGCAACAGAAAUGUAUUUCACGCAGAGGCUGGAAAUCUAAGAUCAGGAUGCCAACAUGCUCAGGUUCUAGUGAGGGCUAUCUUGUAGGCUGCAGAUUGUUGACUUUUUUUUGUAACCUCACAAGGGGAAAGAGGGCUAGAGAGCUCUCUGGGGGUCUCUUUUAUAAGGCCUAAUCUCAUUCAUGAGGGCUUCACCCUUACCACCUCCCAAAUUGUCUUCCAAAGACCCUGCCCCCUAAUACCUCACAUUGGGAGAUUUCAACCUAUAAAUUCUGGGGAGACACAAACAUCAGUCCACUGCAAUGGAUAUAGAGUUUCAGUUUUGUAAGAUGAAAAAGUUCUGGAGACUGGUUGCACAGCAAUGUUAAUGUAUUUAACGCUACUGAACUAUACAUUUAGAAAUGGUUAAGAUGGUAAAGUUUAUGUUACAUAUUUUUUACUACAAUAAAAAAGUAUUAUUGAAACUUUCUCAAGACUUCCUGAUUGUGAUACAUUUAAAUCAUUACAUUUUCACUUUUUAAAAUUUUGAAGGACUUAUUCUUCUGAAAUUACUAAAACUUAAAACUGCAGUAGGACUUUUGAAAGAUCCUAUGCUUUGGGACUUCUCUCCGUUAUGGAGAGAACUCCAUUUAUGACAGUUGGUGUGCGCUAUUAGUGGGCUUUAGGUUUGCAGAAGUGUCAUUGCUCUAAAAUCCAUGUUGCAAAUAAAAGCUUCCAUAUUACUCUGAAAUACUUAACGUUUACAAAGUUUGUAUGGAUUUGAAACCAUUUGCAUUAUCACAGAAAUUUCAAUAUCACAUGUGGCAAUGAAGGAAGUGAAGUGCCAUUAGACUCUUAAAAUAUAAUUUCA
rnacentral:lncRNA from 10 species